rnacentral:lncRNA from 1 species
AAAUUUAACCUUUGCAGUGAGUAUAAACCAGAGACAGUAAUGAAAAUACGAAGUAGCAAAACAAGGCACAUAAAUCAUCUCCUGUUUUGAAAAAGAAAUUCAACACAGUAUAAGAAUCAAGAAACAUCAAAAUCAAUACACUACCAUGCAAAGCAAUCAAGGAAUGAGUGAUUGGAACAUCCAAUGAUAAACAGGACAACAUUGUUAAAGUGGUCAAAGAAUCACCUACAUUAUUCGACAGCAAGAUUCCUAAAUUCCCUACACCUGAAAUUCUUCUAAACUGGGACAACCUGGAAACAGGAAUUGCCAAGCUAAAUGUUGAUGGAAGCUGGAAUCAAAGAGAAUGAAAGGCAUGAACAGGCAGUCUAUUCAGAGGAGAAUGGGAAAAUUGGACGAUUGGAUAUUUGUUUCUUAGGUGAUUUUCCACUCGACUUGGCAGAACUUUGGGCAAUCUAUCAUGCAACUAAAGUUGCAAAGAAUAUGGGAUUUGAAAAAGUGGACAUUUCAAUCUGACUUGUUAAGUUCAAUUUAGCCAAGUAAAAUAAUCAACGGGAUUUGCAAAGAAUAAAUGGGACAACAUUUGGUUGAAUAUCAAUCCAUUUGUCAAAUAAUCAACAUUAAAGAGGCUAACAUAUAUUCAAACUAGUCCAAGUAAAAUAAUUAACUAUUUAGCCACAGGAAUGGAAUAGUCAAACAAUAACAUAAAAGACAAUAAAAUAUUAAUGGGCCAAUAUAGAAUAGAGAGAUUUACCUAUUUUUAGUCAACCCUUAAACCAAAAAUGUCAUAAUAUUUCUAGGUUUUCAACCUGUCUAAUAUUUGCUGCCAGCAACAAUUAAGGCUACCAUGCUAAUGGACAAUUCUUAUAUAAAGAAACACCUAAAAUCACUUAUCAUGACAAUGUAUGCAAAAAAAAAAAAGAUUUUCAACAUACAAAAAAGAAAAGUGAAGUGGUUUCUGCGAACCUUUCCUGCAUUCCUGAUAGAAACAAGGCUUGUAGAUAUUUACACCUUGACUGCAGGAUGAAUUUGUGAGCAUGCAUGUGCGGCACCAAUAGAGAGCAAAAACUGCAUGCCCAGGGCAUUUUUUC